rnacentral:lncRNA from 1 species
AAUUAUCGGAGGAAGAUUUGAAGACCAAAAGAAAAUAGAAAGUGAAAGGGUAAGAGAAAAAGAAAAGAAAUAAGAGAAGUAUUAUUAUUUGAAUUCUUUUCUCUCUCUCCCUUUUCUUUCUUUUUCUCUCUAUCUUCUCUCUCCUCCCCCCUUUUCCCUUACCCUUCGUGCGACUCCCCCACCGCCCACCUUUUCUCUCUCUUCCCUUUGACUAGUCCAAGCUUAUCUUCUCUCUUCUCUCUCCUCUCUCUUCUUUCUUCCCCCUCACGACAGAACCAGCUUUUCUUCUCCUUCUUUUCUUCGCGUGCGAACCAGGAGCUCGGAGAUCGCAGCUCGCCGAGAACCGCCCGCCGCUCGUCCCGCCGCCGCACCGCCGCCCGCGCCCGUGCGCCCGUCGCCGUCCCGCCGUCCGUCGCUCGCUGCCGCUCCUCCCUCCGCGCGAUCCAGCCAACCCAGUUGCUGUUCCGCACCGACUAGCCACCGUCCGGCCACCUCCGGCCACCACCAAGCCCCGCCGGACCUCCCCCGCGACCCCCUCGCCUUCCGCCGGCCUUCCCUCGCCGUUUUGGCCGCCGGAUCUGCUCCGACCAGCCAAAGGCAGAAACCCACGAAAUGGGUUUCCAGCGGCUUUAGGCCCGCUUUUGGGCCGUUUCCGGGCCCCGGAUCCGUGAAUCGCUUUGGGAAGUUUCGUUCCUCGCGUCGCCGCCGUCGGAUUGAUCCGAUUUGUGCGCGAUUUGGUGAGUAAUCUCACUAAUCUUGGAUUAGUUGGCUAAUUAUGCUUAAGGUUGGUUUAGAUUUAAUUAAUUAUGUUUAGGUUGUUAGAUUUAAAUAAAUUAGCAAUUAUUAGUCAAUUGUGAUGUGAUUUAGAUAAUUUGAUUGUGCAAUUAACAAGUAGACGUGGUCUACUAAUUAUUGGAAGUGCCUCGGGAUUUUUCCCGACCCUUAGUGGGCUCCAAUUAGGCUUUUCGGGCCUAAGUGGAUAUUUUUAGUAUUUAAUUAUUAAUUUUCGGAAUUAAAUUAAUUAUUUAUUUAUUUUCUGAAAAUUCAACUGAGAUGGUCUGGAACCGGAAUUUUAUGCUGAUGACCGUGGUGAAGUCCGUUUAUGUAAUCGGGCUUUAUUUUGAGCUAAAUUGAAUUUUUAAUAUUAAUUAUUUAAUUUUCGAAAUUAAUUAAUUAAUAAAUUAUUUUUCGGAAAUUAAGAUUUUGAUGGCCGACGACCGAAAUCUCGUGCUGAUCGUCGUGGCGCAGUCCGUUUAUUUAUUUGAGCUCCACGUUGCGUGGAAUUAAAUAAAUUGUGAUAUUUUUGGGGAUUUACCCUAAAUUGAUUGGAAUUGAUUGAGAUUGAAUUAUUGAUUGGUAAAUGGCCAAGUAUGUUUAUUCAGCAUUUGCAAUGCUUUGUUGAGUUGUAAAGUGAGUAGAAUUGUGAGAGUGAUUUGAAUAUACUCUUGGCUAAGAUCCAUCAGGUAUGUUAAUAUCGUGUGAAGAUUGAGUGAGUUGAUGAGUAUGUGGGGAUUCAUCCCAAGAUUGAUCAAUGUCGGUAUUCAAUUAGAAUUUGACUAUGAGAGGUUGUGAGUUGAACCUCAGAAGCCGCCGAAGUAUGGCUAUGCCAGUUGGGCCGAGAUUUGCCACCGAAUUUGGAGUCGGUCGCGCCUGAUAAGGCCGUAAAUUGCCACCUAUUAAAGGUCACGCCUGAUAAGGCCGUAAUCUGCCACCCGAUAUGGGUCGCGCCUGAUAAGGCCGUAAUCUGCCACCUGAUAUGGGUCGCGCCUGUUGAGGCCGUAAUCUGCCACCUGAUAUGGGUCGCGCCUGUUGAGGCCGUAAUUUGCCACCCGAUAUGGGUCGCGCCUGAUAAAGCCGUAAUCCGCCACCUAUUAAAGGUCGCGCCCAUUAGGCCGUAAUUUGCUAUCUAAAGAUAGGUCGUGUCCUUCGGGACUGUAAUUUGUUGCCAAGAAAUUUGGUAGUCUAUGCUUGUGAAGUCGUGAGUACGAUUUGAACCUGAAUAAGGGAAACGACUGGGGAAUGGUCGAAUUGACAUGAAAUCGACUAGGUCGAUGGAUCGAGAUAUUGAUCUGUGAUGUAAUUGCUUGGGUGCCUAUUGAACUGUGCUAAUAUGCAGAUGGAGUCUGAGGCCAAGGUAAGUCCUCUGCCCUGUGCGUGUUUAGGCAGCCUAUAGUAUAAUAGUUUACUAAUCGGGUUUAGUGGGGUAGAACUCGCUGAGACGUAGUCUCAUCCCGGUUUGGGGAAAAACAUUUCAGGACCCGAUAAGGAGCUGAGGAGGAGAAGUCUGGGAAGGAGAUCUUGGAGGUGAAACUUGAAGGGAAGGAUUUUGAAAGAAGAAGAUAAUACCGAGAUGGGCCUUGAGUAUGGCCUGGAUGGAUUGAGAUCCUAUCUUCUUUUGAGAUCUCCGUUUUGAUGUGAAUAGAUAUGAAAGGGUUUGUGGUUUGUAUAAAAGUUUGGUUAUAAAUUUCAAUAUGAAAAAUAUGGCAUUGCUUUUCUAUCCCAUCGUUUUAUUGUGUGGGGAUUUUAACUGCUUCCGCAUGUGCUUAAAAAUUAAAAGGGUCGGCGAUAUAUUGUCCUAGGGUAUCGCAUUAUAAAAUCGACCAAAGAAAAGGAUGGGCACGUGCCCGAGGAUCGGG